GACGUAGGGCGCGAGCGUUGUCCGGAUUUAUUGGGCGUAAAGAGCUCGUAGGCGGCUUGUCGCGUCGUCCGUGAAAACCUGUGGCUCAACUGCAGGCUUGCGGUCGAUACGGGCAGGCUGGAGUUCGGUAGGGGAGACUGGAAUUCCUGGUGUAGAGGUGAAAUUCGUAGAUAUUAGGAGGAAUACCGGUGGCGAAGGCGGCCUUCUGGACCAUUCCUGACACUGAGACGCGAAAGCGUGGGUAGCAAACAGG
rnacentral:rRNA from 1 species